GAGCCGCGCGGUGAGCACAAAGCGAACUAUUUUUUCGCCUUUUACUAAAGAAUACCGUGUGCUCGUCGCUUCCAACGGCAUACAUUACUUUUUUAAGGGGAUUUUCUGCAAAUGUCCC